GCAGUGGUGGUUCAGUGGUAAGAUUCUCACCUUCCAUGCAGAAGGCUUGGGUUUGAUUCCCAGCCAAUGCA
rnacentral:tRNA from 1 species